rnacentral:lncRNA from 1 species
UUGGAAGCCUGAGACAGUGAUGAGGGAGUCUUACCCAGACUUGUUUGAUUCUUCAAGUUGAGGUAUGUGCUAAGUUUCGAGGACGAAACUUUUUGUAGUGGGGGAGAAUGUAGUAUCCUUAUAUAUAUAUAUAUAUAUAUAUAUAUAUAUAUAUAUAUAUAUAUAUAUAUAUAUAUAUAUAUAUAUAUAUAUAUAUAUAUAUAUAUAUAUAUAUAUAUAUAAUGCCACGUGCCCCCAUGCAUGUAUUUCAUGCUUAUCUAAUUAGGGGGUUGUACAUGCCUCCUUAAUUAAAAUUUCCUCCCUCUCUGUCUCUGGAGCCAUACGCGAGGAGGAGGAGCUUGGGUGGAGCGUUCGUCGCCGACGUCGCAUCGCCAAGCCGUUUGAGCGCACGUUUGUCGCCGUAGCGUCGCGUGGAGGCCGGGCAAGGGUGCGUUUUCGCCGUCCUCGACGUCGCACCGGCGCUGGAUUCGCUGUCGAUGUGGGUACCUAACUUUCCUCCUUGGAUUACUUGAAUGCAUGAUUUUGAGCUCGCGUGCUGAUUUUAUUGAUUUUCAGCGUCGACCGUCAGUGUUUCGGCUCGUACUCUGCGUAGGAACGUCGGAUUUCGACGGGACUUGGUUCGUUGGAUUCAGGACGUCGAGAGGAAUCCACGAAGCCCUUAUUUGCUGGAUUGUGCCGAGGUAGUUCCAGCAGUAUAGUGAUUCAAUCAAGCUAAAAAGCCUGAUUGAGCUCGACAGAGAUACGCUGCAUACUCGGUUGGGUAGCUCCCACGAGUGCCACUCCGAAGAUGGGCGCUGUGCUUUCGCGUUGGUGUCGCUCAUGCCGGUUGGACUUGCUCUCCACGGACUAGUAGUGUGGAG